GCCUCGGUGGUGUAGUAGUCAAGACGCUCGCCUGGUAAGCAGGAGGGCUUGGGUUCAACCCCAGCGGGGGCA
rfam:Asian citrus Psyllid, Diaphorina citri - Florida Strain, whole genome shotgun sequence.